rnacentral:lncRNA from 1 species
CUUCAGCAGUUGGACCGCUACGCCUCCGCCUCCCUCCGGCCCCGGGACCUGCGCAAGCGCGACGCGCCCCCUCCCGUCCCGCCCCUUUCUUUCUGCCGCGCGGCCCCAUGGGAAUUGUAGUUCUCUGCUGCAGAGUCAACCUGAGCUCCGCCCUGACCCCGCGCCAUGAGGGACGGAGGAACUACUAAUCCUAGCAUGCAUAGCGCGGCCACGGACCCACUUUUUUUUUUUUUUUUUUUUUUCAGUACCGGGAAAACAGGAGCGUGUGAUUGGGGUUUACAGUGUUUUCUCUCGCUCUCUCUGUUUCUAGGGAAUUCGGGCUGUGUUUAGCUGCUGGAAUAUCGUAGAAUUGGUUUUCAGAGAAGUUCCUCGACUCCUGAGGCGAAACAUAAAGGGAUGGGAGUGGUGUGGGAAGUGAUCGUGUGGGGAAAAAAAAGUUUCGAGCCCGUUUCGCAUUUGUGGAGACAGAGUUUUUGGUGUGACCACUCUUUUGUGGGAAACCCAAACCAAGGAGAACUCAGGAGAAUUGGCGCUCUUCGGUCCUGGAGGUUCCGCAGCUAACAUCCCGGCUUGACCAACUAUCGAGGCCGCAAAUUAAUAGGGCACCUCCUGGGAGGAAAACGCCCAUCCUGACUUCUCAACUGUGACAGGUCCCCCUCACAAACGCCUUGCGGGGGGGUGGGGGGGCGUUUCUAAACACUUGCAUGUUCUUACAAGGGAAAUGUUUUUAUUCUUGGGCGCACCAAGUUGGCCGCCUCCUGAGGUGGAGUACGGACCAGUUGACAACAGGGCUCCUUUUCACCUCCACGCCCAACCUUUUCCAUUUCUCCUCAAACGGUUUUGGAGAAGGGCGGAGUCAUAUCAUUUUAAAGGAAACUUGGAACCUCACCAAUACAAACGCUGGUCGAAUGUUCCCAGAAACUUCCCUGCAUUAGCUCUACCGGGCGCGGGGAGCAGAAAGCGCAUUUCCUGAGUCCUGAAAAGCGCGUGCGCGCCUGUGUGCUGCCGGCGUUUGGGCGCGCCUGCUUGUAUGUAUGUGUUCGCGGGCGCGCGCGUGUGUACGUGUGUGUGCGCGCGUACGCGUGUAUGUUCCUGCGCGCUUGCGGGGACGUGCUUGUGGAGGGCGGAGAGAGGGAUGGGCGUGGCUAAUAUGAAAGCUGCAUCUUUACUAUUUGCUCUGUCGCCCAGGAUGGAGUGCAGUGCAGUGGCGCGAUCCUGCAACCUCCGCCUCUCGAGUUCAAGCGAUUCUCCUGCCUCAGCCUCCCGAGUAGCUGGGAUUACAGACGCGCGCCACCCCACCCAGAUGAUCUUUUUAAAUGCAAAAUGCCAUCGACGCAGAAAAUCAAAGAAUCAGCUUAAGUUCCAGAAAAAAGAAAAACCAACCAAAUGAACAAUAAGACAACAACAACAACAACAAAAAAGGCCUUUUGGGAUUUUGGAUGAUAUUGCAUCAAAUCCAUACAUUAACCUGAGAGACGAGCGACUUCUUCAACAUUGAGCCUUCCAAUCAUGAUUUUCAAUUCAUUUAGGUCUUCUGUAAUGUUUCUUAAUAUAAUUGUAUUUGUUGCUAUGCAGAAGUUUCACUGAUCUUUUAUUAUAUCUCUAUAUAUAUUUGAUAUUUCUGACACUAUUGUAAAUAGUAUCUUUUUAAUAUUUCAUUUUCCUUUUUUGUUGCUUAAAUAUAUAUAAAAUAAGCUAAUUUUCCAAACUAAUUUUUAUAUCCAGCAACCCUGCUAAAAU